GAUGGAAAACUACAUGAACUACAUGUUGCUAAAUCCACCGCGGAGAAUAAACAGAAGGGCAACCGGGCAACUAUGCUCUGGGGUCUUCUUCUGUGCUUUUGGUGUAUUUUGUGGCGGAAGUACAGCGCCACUUACAGGCCCGGCAUAUGUACUACAGCGUCUCCAGCGGUCUCGU